AGGACGAGUCCCAAAUCCCACUGAUGACCUGUCUACAGACAGUCUGCGGCCUCUCCUGCUCGGGGCGCUGUUCCACAUUUGUAACCAGCAGCACCAUCUGGUGGUGACACACAGACUCAACCAGGUGUCCCUGGAUCGUGGUCGGGGACCGCCUGCUGCUGUGGUCCUGCUUGACUCCCACUGCUAUCGCUGUUAUUAUAAUUAGUCAUAUUUCUAUUAUUAUUAUUGUUGCUAUUGUUAUUAUUGUUGUUGCUGUGCUUCUCUGUG